AUUGAACGCUGGCGGCAGGCCUAACACAUGCAAGUCGAGCGGAUGAAGGGAGCUUGCUCCUGGAUUCAGCGGCGGACGGGUGAGUAAUGCCUAGGAAUCUGCCUGGUAGUGGGGGAUAACGUCCGGAAACGGGCGCUAAUACCGCAUACGUCCUGAGGGAGAAAGUGGGGGAUCUUCGGACCUCACGCUAUCAGAUGAGCCUAGGUCGGAUUAGCGAGUUGGUGGGGUAAAGGCCUACCAAGGCGACGAUCCGUAACUGGUCUGAGAGGAUGAUCAGUCACACUGGAACUGAGACACGGUCCAGACUCCGACGGGAGGCAGCAGUGGGGAAUAUUGGACGAUGGGCGAAAGCCUGAUCCAGCCAUGCCGCGUGUGUGAAGAAGGUCUUCGGAUUGUAAAGCACUCUAAGUUGGGAGGAAGGGCAGUAAGUUAAUACCUUGCUGUUUUGACGUUACCAACAGAAUAAGCACCGGCUAACUUCGUG
rnacentral:rRNA from 1 species